rnacentral:rRNA from 1 species
CAGUCGCCGCGGUAACACCGAGGAUGCAAGCGUUAUCCGGAAUGAUUGGGCGUAAAGCGUCUGUAGGUGGCUUUUCAAGUCCGCCGUCAAAUCCCAGGGCUCAACCCUGGACAGGCGGUGGAAACUACCAAGCUGGAGUACGGUAGGGACAGAGGGAAUUUCCGGUGGAGCGGUGAAAUGCGUUGAGAUCGGAAGAACACCAACGGCGAAAGCACUCUGCUGGGCCGACACUGACACUGAGAGACGAAAGCUAGGGGAGCAAACAGGAUUAGAUACCCCGGUAGUCCCUGUCUCUUAUACA